rnacentral:rRNA from 1 species
GACGAAGGGGGCUAGCGUUGUUCGGAAUUACUGGGCGUAAAGCGCGUGUAGGCGGUUGGCAAAGUCGGGUGUGAAAGCCUUGAGCUCAACUCAAGAAUUGCACUCGAUACUUGGUGACUAGAGGACCGGAGAGGAUAGUGGAAUUCCCAGUGUAGUGGUGAAAUACGUAGAGAUUGGGAAGAACACCAGUGGCGAAGGCGGCUAUCUGGACGGUUUCUGACGCUAAGACGCGAAAGCGUGGGGAGCAAACAGG